CAGCAGCAGCCGCGGUAAUACGGAGGAUCCAAGCGUUAUCCGGAAUCAUUGGGUUUAAAGGGUCCGUAGGCGGUCUUGUAAGUCAGUGGUGAAAGCCCAUCGCUCAACGGUGGAACGGCCAUUGAUACUGCAGGACUUGAAUUAUUGGGAAGUAACUAGAAUAUGUAGUGUAGCGGUGAAAUGCUUAGAGAUUACAUGGAAUACCAAUUGCGAAGGCAGGUUACUACCAAUUGAUUGACGCUGAUGGACGAAAGCGUGGGUAGCGAACAGGAUUAGAUACCCGCGUAGUCCCUGUCUCUUAUAC
rnacentral:rRNA from 1 species